UGAAUCGUAAAUGACAGUGAAAGAAAAGCGACAGUUUCUUAAAGGCUGACGACGGCGAAAAUGAGCCAAAUUGUACAAAGAAUUGGAACAUUUUGAUGCGGAGCUUUUUCGAUUUGGUCUUCCCCGAUUCUUUCAGCCUUGGAUUAGUUCAGUUACAAUUUUGUUCCGUAGUACGAACGGAGGACGAAUUGAAAGAUCCCCAACCAUUAGAAGCACUUUCGUACCAUCGUAUCAUCGUACAAACGGAGGCAUGGGACAGGGGCUUAAGACCAAGAAAACAUGCCAUCAUUUGCACAUCCUGUACAGUAUUUCUAUUCCAUUUUUGCGUGUAUCUUAUAUAAUAAAUUUUGCUUUCUUGGACAAAAAAAAUCCGUUAAAAAUUAGGGAAUAUUUAAGCUUCGCUUAAAAUUUGCUCGCAAUGUAUGUACAGAAAGUCUUGUGUAUUCUAAAAUAAAAUAACAUUGCUUCCAUUA